UGGGGAAUAUUGCACAAUGGGCGCAAGCCUGAUGCAGCCAUGCCGCGUGUGUGAAGAAGGCCUUCGGGUUGUAAAGCACUUUCAGCGAGGAGGAAGGUGGUGAACUUAAUACGUUCAUCAAUUGACGUUACUCGCAGAAGAAGCACCGGCUAACUCCGUGCCAGCAGCCGCGGUAAUACGGAGGGUGCAAGCGUUAAUCGGAAUUACUGGGCGUAAAGCGCACGCAGGCGGUUUGUUAAGUCAGAUGUGAAAUCCCCGGGCUCAACCUGGGAACUGCAUUUGAAACUGGCAAGCUAGAGUCUCGUAGAGGGGGGUAGAAUUCCAGGUGUAGCGGUGAAAUGCGGUAGAGAUCUGGAGGAAUACCGGUGGCGCAAGGCGGCCCCCUGGACGAAGACUGACGCUCAGGUGCCGAAAGCGUGGGGAGCAAACAGGAUUAGAUACCCGUGGCUAAGUCCACGCUGUAAACGAUGUCGAUUUGGAGGUUGUGCCCUUGAGGCGUGGCUUCCGGAGCUAACGCG
rnacentral:rRNA from 1 species